rnacentral:rRNA from 1 species
UACGUAGGGGGCAAGCGUUGUCCGGAAUCAUUGGGCGUAAAGAGCGUGUAGGCGGCCAGGUAGGUCUGCUGUGAAAACUCGAGGCUUAACCUCGAGCUGUCGGCGGAAACCAUCUGGCUAGAGUCCGGAAGAGGAGAAUGGAAUUCCCGGUGUAGCGGUGAAAUGCGCAGAUAUCGGGAAGAACACCGGUGGCGAAGGCGAUGCUCUGGGCCGGUACUGACGCUGAGGAGCGAAAGCAUGGGGAGCGAACAGG